rnacentral:rRNA from 1 species
AUUGAACGCUGGCGGCAGGCCUAACACAUGCAAGUCGAGCGAGCGGCGGACGGGUGAGUAAUGUCUGGGAAACUGCCUGAUGGAGGGGGAUAACUACUGGAAACGGUAGCUAAUACCGCAUACCAUCAGAUGUGCCCCGAUGGGAGUAGCUAGUAGGUGGGGUAACGGCUCACUUAGGCGACGAUCCCUAGCUGGUCUGAGAGGAUGACCAGCCAAACGGAAACUGAGACACGGGCCAGAGUCCUACGGGAGGAAGCAGUGGGGAAUAGUGCACAAUGGGAGCAAGCCUGAUACAGCCAUGCCGCGUGUGUGAAGAAGGCCUGCGGGUUGUAAAGCACUUUCAGCGGGGAGGCGUUACCCGCAGAAGAAGCACCGGCUAACUCCGUGCCAGCAGCCGCGGUAAUUC